rnacentral:rRNA from 1 species
GACGAACGCUGGCGGCGUGCCUAAUACAUGCAAGUAGAACGCUGAAGAGAGGAGCUUGCUCUUCUUGGAUGAGUUGCGAACGGGUGAGUAACGCGUAGGUAACCUGCCUUGUAGCGGGGGAUAACUAUUGGAAACGAUAGCUAAUACCGCAUAACAAUGGAUGACACAUGUCAUUUAUUUGAAAGGGGCAAUUGUUCCACUACAAGAUGGACCUGCGUUGUAUUAGCUAGUAGGUGAGGUAAUGGCUCACCUAGGCGACGAUACAUAGCCGACCUGAGAGGGUGAUCGGCCACACUGGGACUGAGACACGGCCCAGACUCCUACGGGAGGCAGCAGUAGGGAAUCUUCGGCAAUGGGGGCAACCCUGACCGAGCAACGCCGCGUGAGUGCAGAAGGUUUUCGGAUCGUAAAGCUCUGUUGUAAGUCAAGAACGGGUGUGAGAGUGGAAAGUUCACACUGUGACGGUAGCUUAACAGAAAGGGACGGCUAACUACGUG